CGGGAGAAAAGAAAAGGAAAGGAAAGAGGAGAUACUCGCAGGGUCCAGGGGCUCAAGCCGAUGUUGAACAAAAACUGCUCCUUCAGAAGGUUGGGAAGGGAAGGAGUUGAGUAACUAAGAAGUUUUCGGGCGGCCUGGAGGUCAUCCUCCCCCAAGCUAGGAGCCCUGCGGACAGAGUCCCUUAGGGAGCCCCAAGGGGGCAAUCCCAGCCUCA
rnacentral:lncRNA from 1 species